AUUUCUAGGGCUUUUUUGCAGAACACUCGAAAUACUCGAUCACUCAUUAUGUUCUCUCUACAAUCGAUCCGGCGCCGAUCGACAACCUCAGGCUCACUUCUUCUCCUUCUCCGACGACCUUAAGAAAAUAGAGAACAUUUCAUAGCUAUCACCGGAACAGGAAAGUAGGGAGAAGGAGGGGAACAAAAAGUAAAAAAUCGACCCUCUUCUCUCCCCUCUUGUCUCUCUAUUUUGUUCUCUAGUAUCUCCCUUCCAUUCAUGCCUCCAUCUAGACAUCCGACAUCCACAUCCAUAGCCUCCAACCCUCACCGCCAAAGCCGACAAAGAAGAUGAAGAAACGCAUGCCCUAACUUUCAUGCAUUUGGGUGUGAGCAAAGAAAGGUGGCAAUUAGGGAAAAAGAAACGCAAUGGGUUCUUACUCCAAGGUGACCAUCAUUCACAUAGCUAGUGCAAUUUCUAGGGCUCAAAGGUUUGAACUUCUUGAUUUCCCUAAUCUCUCAUCUUCCUCACAAAGUUAUGAAGAGCAAUCCUUGACAUGGCGUUCUUAAGGUUGAUUAGGCACAUGAAGUCUGAUGUUUUUGUUUAGACUAUAGUGAAUGGAUCUUACAGUUCUCUAUUUUCUGUGACUCGUUUCCAGGAGUCUCUUUUUCAUUCUCUUUAGUAUUCGAUAUGUUUGAUGCUAGUUUAGAUCGUGCAAUACCCUCACUUGUGGCAACAACAUCUUGAUAAUUUGGUUCAUCUUUUUAGUGUGGGAAGGCUAAAGGUUGCAAUAGACCCUAAAAGCUUUGUGGGUGUACAAUUUGUUGCUGAUGCAGUAGAAUAUCUUCAUUUUGGUAAAAGUGUAGGCAAGGUUCUGAUGGACUUUCCUCAAUUGACAAUGACAUUACCUGAUCAGCGUAAAGAGUCUGUGAUGAAACGUACAACACUUGUGGCCAACACUUCUAACAUGCCUGUUGCUACUAAUGAGGCUUCAAUUUAUACAGAUAGAUAUGCACACUAUCUGUUUGAAAACCAUAGCUAUGAAGAAGCCAUGUAUCAUUUUGCAGCAUCCCAAGUAGAAAUAACCCAUGUGCUUUCUUUAUAUCCAUCUAUUCUUCUUCCCAAACCAGUUGAAAAAAGUAUUGAAGUUAGUGGGGAGUCAACUCGGGUACAACAGAAUACUAUACAGAGAGUUCUCCAAGUUCUCAAAUCAAUCAAAUGGAAUCUGAUGAUCUUCCUGCUCUUGAACCCAAGAAAAUGAACCACAAAGCUCUAAUAAAAUAUUUGAAAAAAAAGAGGCCCAACAUUGUUGGAAAGGCGGCUGCUGAAGUUAUUUCAGAUGUUGUACACGUUCCAAGAAAUCAAACAAGGGACGAGUUAAUAUUCCUACGUGCUAGAGAGAUAGCAGCAAUAUGUGAUGACACUGCACUUCUGCAAGCUUUACUGUUGACUGGUCAGAUUGUUGCUGUUUUGGAGCGACUAAAGGGUUUUAACUACUGUGAUAUGAAGAUAUGUCAGAAGCUCUGUUUCAAAUACUUCAAAUAAAUUCAUUUCGACAUGCUUAUUAAUUGUAAAUUUACAUUAUGAAUUAUGAUCAGGUACAAGAUGGGGUUCUUGUACAUGACCAGGGUUAACUUCCUAUUAACACUGGUCACAACAAUGAUAUAUGUGUGUUUUUCGCACCUACUGCAGCGGGCCCUAAACCCUAGGGCAAUAGAGCAUUCGAGUUUCACCCUUAACGUUGAUUUUACUUUUGAGAUACUUUAUCCUUGCUCAGUUGAUUGGAACUUAAUUAAUAGAUCAAGAGAAUAUUUAAUAAGCAAAA